ensembl:lncRNA
CUCAAUCUGGCUUUUUACCUGUAAAUUCAGAUUUUUUUUUUUUCUUUACAUCUUUGUCCACAAUGAACCCCUCAACUGCCCACCAGACACUGUUCUUAGUAGAUGCCAUGUUAGGAAAAGGCAGGUGCUGAUGAGGUGGAAAAGUGGAAAAAUAACCCCGAAAAUGAGAGAAAAAACUCUAGAAAAGGGGGAAUCUCCCUCCCGGAAAAUCAGAAACGGAACAGAACCCGGCGUGCCCCCACUCCACGCGUUUCCAGCCAAUCGUCCUCUGGCUCCGCAGGAAGUUUUCCUUUCCCUCUGCAAUUCCUUGCGGCAGCGCCCAGCCCCGUUUUGGAUUCGCUUUCCUUCUUUUCGCUGUUACCGAGGUCGGCUGAAUCCCCGCUCCAAGCACCCACAGUGAUGGACCCAUAGGUCCCCAGCCUCCAAUUUAACGAUAUUUUCUCUAUUUUGUGAAAAUUUGGCUCAAAAUAAGCCGUUUUAGUAAUCUGUUUUAAUACCUGUUAUUAUAUAUUUUCUGCUAUAGCAGUAAUUGCUGCUAACUGCACUAAUUUGUUGGAGUUGGGGUUUUCUGUGCAAUCCAGCCUGAAAGCAACGACCUUGGGACCAGCAGAUUGUCGCCCCGCUGCCACCACCCAUGUGGACGCAGGAUGUCAGCAGGGCCAUCGGCCCCUCUGAGGUGUCCCCAGAGCUGCUGCAGCCCCUGGUGACUGUGGUGGCCACCUUGGGCAAGUUGGGGACCAUCCCUGGUGACAUCUCCCUGGGAGGGGACAUGGGCUCACUGCGGGCCAGGCUACUGACCUUCAGCUCUGGCGUGCGCAAAGCCAUGGUGCACCCAGAUGGCGAUGCCACCCUCCUCCGGCGUGCCCUGGGGGCAUCCAAGGAACAGCCCAGUGCCCCCACAGCCAUCACUGACUCGUGGCAGAACGCGGUGACUGCAGUGAAGGACAUCUGGGCCAAGCUGCAGGAGGAUGCUGCAUGCCUGAAGAAUGCCUGUGAGACUGUGGCCACUGCCAAGGCCACCAAUGAGGCCACCAAGGGCCACUUGGUGGAAGCAGUGACACGGGAGGACAAAGCACAUAAAGGGUUGAUAGCUGCCACCAGGGUGGUGCCGUUGUCCUCAGAGGUGGCCCAGGUGACAGAGGUGGUGGCAGCCCAUGAUGCGCGGGUGGCAGAGGCCAGGGAAGGGCUGCAGGCAGCCGCCAAGGCCACUGAGGAGGUGGCAGCGGCAGUGGUGGCAGCAAUAGCAGCGAAGGAGAGGGGACAACAUGCAGCAGUGGCCCAUGGGCUCCUGGAGCAGUUGGUAGCCGCCUGUAUGGGGGCCUAUAACUACUACAGUCAUGUGGAGCAUUGCCUCAGGGACAUCAAGGCCAUGGUGGGUGUCACUACUGGAGGUGGUGGCCCUGAUGUCCCCAAGGCCACCCAAGGGGACAUGGGUAUCCCCAAGGAGCUAGCAGAGAUAGUGGUGGUGGCUGAGGCGCUGUGGGACGCCAGUGCCCGCCUGGCCCAGGAGCACCUCUUGGGGACACUGCGGGGUGUUCGGAGCCUGCUGGCCACCUCCAGUGUCACUGAGGCCACCAAAGUCACCCAGCGCUGCCAAGAGGCCACCAACGCCCUCCCUGGGCUGCUGCCACCGGGGCUGUGCUAGGGGACAAACACGUCCAUCAGGGACCGGUGGUAUCAACAACACCAUGAGAUCAUGGAGACAGCAGAUGGGGCCGUUAGGACCACCAUUCCAACCACCAAUGGAGUGAGGGCUGUCAUGAAAUAUCACCUCAGUGUCACCUCCGUGCAUCCCCUCAACACCUCCAGGGAUGCCAGCACUUCCUGGUAAAAAAUGGGAAAACAGUUUUGUUUUAUAAAAAUUAUUUUGUUUUAAAAAAAUGGUUUUGCUUUAUAAAAAUGUUAUCACCUGACAAGGUUCUGGCUCCGUGUCACUUUAUCCCUAACAUGUCAGCAGGAUCCUCACACAUCUCCUCCUGUGUCCCCUUCUCAUGUUUAUCCUCCUAUUCCUGUCCAGGUCCCUAUGUAUCACCUUCUCAUGUGCCCCUUUCACAUCCCUUCUAUGUCCCUAUAUGUCACUUCUGCUGUGUCCCUUCCAUGUUGCCGUUAAAACCAAAAGUGAUAGUCCUAUCACUGUCAACCCUCGUAAACAGUCAUUCCCCCUCCUGUUUAUACGCUCCCUUCAAGUACUGGAAGGCCACAAUGAGGUCUCCCUGGAGCCUUCUCUUCUCCAAGCUAAACAAGCCCAGUUCCC